AGGGUUUGAUUAUGGCUCAGAACGUACGCUGGCGGCACGCCUAACACAUGCAAGUCGAACGAAGUAGCAAUACUUAGUGGCAGACGGGUGAGUAACAUGUAGGUAUCUGCCCUUUGGCCUGGAAUAACACGAGGAAACUUGUGCUAAUACCGGAUAAGUCUUUACAGAGAAAGCUUUAUGCACCAUUGGAUGAGCCUGCACUUGAUUAGUUUGUUGGUGGGGUAAUGGCCUACCAAGACUUUGAUCAAUAGCUGAUUUGAGAGGAUGAUCAGCCACAUUGGGACUGAGACACGGCCCAAACUCCUACGGGAGGCAGCAGUGGGGAAUCUUGCACAAUGGAGGAAACUCUGAUGCAGCGAUGCCGCGUGAGUGAAGAAGGCCCUUGGGUUGUAAAGCUCUUUCGUCGGGGAAGAAAAUGACUGUACCCGAAUAAGAAGGUCCGGCUAACUUCGUGCCAGCAGCCGCGGUAAUACGAAGGGACCUAGCGUAGUUCGGAAUUACUGGGCUUAAAGAGUUCGUAGGUGGUUGAAAAAGUUGGUGGUGAAAUCCCAGAGCUUAACUCUGGAACUGCCAUCAAAACUUUUCAGCUAGAGUAUGAUAGAGGAAAGCAGAAUUUCUAGUGUAGAGGUGAAAUUCGUAGAUAUUAGAAAGAAUACCAAUUGCGAAGGCAGCUUUCUGGAUCAUUACUGACACUGAGGAACGAAAGCAUGGGUAGCGAAGAGGAUUAGAUACCCUCGUAGUCCAUGCCGUAAACGAUGUGUGUUAGACGUUGGAAAUUUAUUUUCAGUGUCGCAGCGAAAGCGAUAAACACACCGCCUGGGGAGUACGACCGCAAGGUUAAAACUCAAAUGAAUUGACGGGGACCCGCACAAGUAGUGGAGCAUGUGGUUUAAUUCGAAGAUACGCGCAGAACCUUACCAACACUUGACAUGUUCGUCGCGACUUUAAGAGAUUAAAGUUUUCGGUUCGGCCGGACGAAACACAGGUGCUGCAUGGCUGUCGUCAGCUCGUGUCGUGAGAUGUUGGGUUAAGUCCCGCAACGAGCGCAACCCUCACUUUUAGUUGCCAUCAUUAAGUUGGGCACUCUGAAAGAACUGCCAGUGAUAAGCUGGAGGAAGGUGGGGAUGACGUCAAGUCCUCAUGGCCCUUACGUGUUGGGCUACACACGUGCUACAAUGGUAUUUACAACAGGAAGCAAGACGGCGACGUCAAGCAAAUCCUUAAAAAAUACCUCAGUUCGGAUUGCACUCUGCAACUCGAGUGCAUGAAGCUGGAAUUACUAGUAAUCGUGGAUCAGCGUGCCACGGUGAAUGCGUUCCCGGGUCUUGUACACACCGCCCGUCACACCAUGGGAGUUGGUUCUACCUUAAGGCAAGGUUUCAAACCCUUGACCACGGUAUAGUCAGCGACUGGGGUGAAGUCGUAACAAGGUAGCCA
rnacentral:rRNA from 1 species